GUACGUGUCCGAUCCAAUCCAACUCCGGAUUACACGGAUCAACGAGAAUUUCAUCAUUCUUUAAUACUUUUACUUUUCGAACAAGCCCCAGUGCCCAGUGCACUUACGUUACAUACAUUUGCGAGAAGGUUCCGUAACGAUUGUUCCAGUAAUUUUGUAUCAUCAGAACUCAGAAGAUGUUGGCGUUGAAAAUUGAAGUAGAAGAACAAAGACGUAAAAUCGAGUCGAUGGAGAAAGAAUUAAAGGAUAAAAAGGAACUCGAGUUAGCGAAACAGAAGCUCGAGAUGGAGAAGAAACAACUUCAAAGUAAAGUUGAUCAACUGCUGUCUCAGGGCCCGUGGUGGAAAUUUUGGUAAUUGGAAGAGUUUUUCGUUUCGGUAUUCAAUGUACGUGUGAAAAUAACGUUAUUUCGAACACUGUUGUUAUUAUGUAUCCAAAUUCAAUGUAAUUCAUAGAAUAAACUGAAUAUUGUAAAAGGUUGAA